GGCUGCUUGGUCUAGUGGUAUGAUUCUUCGUUCGGGACGAAGAAGUCCUGGGUUCGAUUCCCAGAGCAGCCC
rnacentral:tRNA from 1 species